rnacentral:misc_RNA from 1 species
CUGGGAGUUGCUCUGACUGUUGGUUGCAAUCUUGGCUUAAAUGUCUGGUUUGUGGCUUUUAGUUNAAGCUCUUUCUGAGGAUGAUUACCGUAAAGGUGCAUGAGUGGUGUUUGGUUUGUUACCGGUGGUUGGCUCUCUGCUUUUGCAACAACUUCCACCUGGCAUUCCUUUUCAGUUGUGGGUCAAGGUUGUUUUUCCUUGAGCGCUUUUGGUUUCCUGUGUUGCCUUCCUAUGUGAUGGUAUUGUUUGAUCGCAUCAGUCUUGUUUUNAUCUUCGCGUCGUGUGUGGCGUGGGAUGAAUCUUAAAGCAGUUUCUUUGAUCCACCUUGUUGAUGCACAUGCAUCGAUGUUGUGGCUCAUUGAGUUUUGCUUGGACUUCUGGAUACAGAACAUGAUAUGGGUGAUGGUCUCAUGUGAUACCUCUUUUGCCCUUGUUGAACGUUGCUAUAUCUCUAAGAUGGCUGCCUAGCCCGAAUUGGCUCGUACCACCGGGUAGGUUAUGUUGUUGAAGAGCGAUGCUAGCGUUCUUGCUUCUCUAAAACGAAUGGCCUUGCCUGCAUGGGCUCGUACCAGCGGGUGGGCUACGUCGAAGAGGGAUGCUACCUGGUUGAUCCUGCCAGUAGUCAUAUGCUUGUCUCAA